rnacentral:rRNA from 1 species
GUGGGGAAUAUUGGACAAUGGGCGCAAGCCUGAUCCAGCCAUGCCGCGUGUGUGAAGAAGGCCUUUUGGUUGUAAAGCACUUUAAGCGAGGAGGAGGCUCCUUUAGUUAAUACCUAAAGAGAGUGGACGUUACUCGCAGAAUAAGCACCGGCUAACUCUGUGCCAGCAGCCGCGGUAAUACAGAGGGUGCAAGCGUUAAUCGGAUUUACUGGGCGUAAAGCGCGCGUAGGUGGCCAAUUAAGUCAAAUGUGAAAUCCCCGAGCUUAGCUUGGGAAUUGCAUUCGAUACUGGUUGGCUAGAGUAUGGGAGAGGAUGGUAGAAUUCCAGGUGUAGCGGUGAAAUGCGUAGAGAUCUGGAGGAAUACCGAUGGCGAAGGCAGCCAUCUGGCCUAAUACUGACACUGAGGUGCGAAAGCAUGGGGAGCAAACAGGAUUAGAAACCCGAGUAGUCC